rnacentral:rRNA from 1 species
UAUGGGGGUCCAAAGCCUUACUGAUCUUCCUGAAACUCCGAAUACUUUAUGAUCGUAAAUCAAACAGACAGACUUAAAGUGCUAAGGUUUUAAGUCAAAAGGGAAACAGCCCAGACUGUCCGCUAAGGUCCCUAAACAUUUUGGAAGUGGAAAAAGCGUUUUAUAACGAAGACAGCUAGGAGAUUGGCUUGGAAGCAGCCAUUCUAUAAUGAAAGCGUAAUAGCUCACUAGUCGAGUUUAAAAGCACUGAGAAUGUAUCGGGGCUUCACAAAAUUACCCAAGCGACAGAUAUUAUUGGUAGCGGAGCGUUUUGUAGACCAUUGAAGAGGUUUUGUGAAAAACUUUGGAGGAUUCAAAAGUGAGAAUGCUGACAUGAGUAACGACAAAUCAUGUGACAAUCAUGAUCGCCGUAAGUUCAAGGGUUUCUGCGUUCUGUUUUUCAGCGCAGAGUGAGUCGGUCUCUAAGUGUGUUUUUGAGAAAAAACCACGAUGAAACAAAUGAAAGAUGACGAAAUGCUAAGUAGAAAUCAAGAGUGUAUUGGAUGGCUUUGUGGUUUCUAUCAUUUCCAGGAAAACUCUUCAUAAACUGUGACCGUACCCGAAACCGACACUGGUGAACGAGUCGAAUAGACUCAGGCGUGGAGCGAAUCAUAUUGAAGGAACUCGGCAAAUUUUUCCUGUACCUUUGGAAGAAAGGAAGCCAAUUUUGGUGACACAAAAAUGGGGGUGACGACUUUUUACUAAAAAAUUAGGACUCUGCAAAAUGGGAACAUGAUGUAUAGGGUCUGACGCCUGCCCGGUGCUUGAAGCUUAACCUGUAUACUGUUUUGGUAUAUUGAGAAGGCCUAGUAAACGGCGGUUGUAACUAUAACAAUCAUAAAGUAGCGAAAUUCAUUGUCAGCUAAUUCCUGACCUGCAUGAAAGGCGUAACGAUUGCCCCACUGUCUCCAGUAUGGACUCCGUGAAAUUGAACUCUCCGUGCAGAUGCGGAGAAUGUGCCCCAAGACGAGAAGACCCUAUGCAUCUUUACUGUACAUUUACACUGGAAAAAAGCUUGAAUUGUGUAGGAUAGGUGGGAGUUGUCAACACCCUUGAAAUACCACCCUUUUUAAGAGGAGUUCCUUAUUUGAAUAGUAUUCAAAAACACUGUAUAUGAGGCAGUUUGACUGGGGCGGUCGCCUCCUAAAGAGUAACGGAGGUGUGCG